rnacentral:rRNA from 1 species
AACGCUGGCAGCGCGCUUAACACAUGCAAGUCGAGCGAGAACCAGGGCUUCGGCCCUGGGGACAGCGGCGAACGGGUGAGUAACACGUGGGUAAUCUGCCCUCGGCAUCGGGAUAGCCCGGGGAAACCCGGAUUAAUAUCGAAUAGCUUCCGGAGCUCUCGGGCGCCGGAGAAAAGGUAGCUUCGGCCUCUGCCCGAGGAUGAGCCCGCGGCGGAUUAGCUUGUUGGCGGGGUAACGGCCCACCAAGGCGACGAUCCGUAGCUGGUCUGAGAGGACGAUCAGCCACACUGGGACUGAGACACGGCCCAGACUCCUACGGGAGGCAGCAGUGGGGAAUCUUGCGCAAUGGGCGAAAGCCUGACGCAGCGACGCCGCGUGAGGGAAGAAGGCCUUCGGGUUGUAAACCUCUUUCAGGGGGGACGAAGCUACUCGGGUGAAUAGCCCAGAGGGUGACGGUACCUCCAGAAGAAGCCCCGGCUAACUACGUGCCAGCCGCCGCAGUAACAC